rnacentral:lncRNA from 1 species
AAAAAAAAUCCUUUAUGCAGUCAAUUCAAUCCACAAAUUCGCUGCAAGGCGGACAGAACUGCAGACGACAAGAAAUUAUGUGCUCUAGGUCACUCUAGAUGUGCCGAAUUUCGAGCAUUUUUGGAUGGUGUGAAAGCAUUUUCAUUAAGCGAGAAAAGUGGGACGCAACAUGAUAAGGAUAAGGUUACCUCGUGGGCUGUCUAAAGGCCAAGCAACGUUGGCGAUCAUUCUGGGCUUCGGCUGCAGCUUAUACACCUGGUAUCCAGUGCUUCAGUACAAGCGUGCAAAAGUUAUUGCCGAAAAGCAGAAUGCUGCACCACAGGAUGAGUCGCCGUUGGACAACAAGUGACCUUACCGGGUCGGAAAGCUGUCGGAGCGGAUCAACAUCAUCUUGUGUUCCUAGACGUCGCGUACAUAAAGCGAAAUGAAAAAAAAUUGCGAAAGGCAACGUCUGUUCACUUGUCACUUUAUCGACAACAGGUUUCUGGCCAUGGGAAACGGUACGCUCUCGUAUUUUCGAGAGUCUAAGCACCUUUUGCUCACUUGGCGGAAAUGAGGGGGAGGGGUCUCAUCAUUCUUUGAAGAAUCACUAUUAGUACCUUACGUUCCCCCAACGUCAAUGUAAAGAAAACUCGCAACUCAAAUUUAGUUGGCUCGUGGUAUUUUAUUAAGUCGUGCCUAUGCUUCUUCUUGGAUCCUCUUCAACCUGCAACCAGCAGAAGUGGGGAUUUAAAAAAGACGGCAUGAAAAAUGCCCUUCCAGCAAAAUACAGUUCCAUUAACGCCACGAAACCUAACAUAUUUAUUUAUUUCAAGUGCCUGCAGCGCCCGAAGGCAUUAUUGCAGGGGGGAAUACACAGUGUUACAUAAGCUCGAUAAAAUACAGAACUGAUCAACCGAAAAUAACAGCAAUAGAAACGUUCACGCCACUAUAAAUUAAACAGAAAUGCUCUGAACAAUGCUUCAGUGCGACAAUCAGCAAUUUCCUGUGGGAAACCUAACAUAAUGUUGAUAGUAGCAUUCAUGACCCGCUGGAGCAAAGCUUCUGUUGCAGUUAGUUCAGCGAACCAAAUGCUAAUUAACAUACUAACUAUCAAACUUUAUUUUUGUGUACUGCUGUACUCUUCAUGGCCAGAAAUAAAAGUGCUCAAGUUCUAAUUUCA